GGAGUCUGGGCCGUGUCUCAGUCCCAGUGUGGCCGUUCAACCUCUCAGUCCGGCUACCCAUCGUCGCCUUGGUGAGCCGUUACCUCACCAACUAGCUAAUGGGACGCGAGCCCAUCUUUAAGCGGAUUUCUCCUUUAACUCUAUUCCCAUGUGAAAACUGAGUCUUAUGCGGUAUUAGCACUGAUUUCUCAGUGUUGUCCCCCUCUUAAAGCCAGGUUGCUCACGCGUUACUCACCCGUCCGCCACUAAGAUAUCUCGGUGUCUCCACUCUUAGUGCAAGCACUUCAAGCUUCGACGGUGAGAUCUCUCCGUUCGACUUGCAUGUGUUAGGCAUGCCGCCAGCGUUCGUCCUCGAGCCAUGAUCAAACUACU
rnacentral:rRNA from 1 species